rnacentral:rRNA from 1 species
AGAGUUGAAUGGCUCAGGAUGAACGCUAGCGACAGGCUAACACAUGCAAGUCGAGGGGCAGCAUAAAAGUAGCAAUACGUUGGUGGCGACCGGCGCACGGGUGAGUAACGCGUAUGCAACCUACCUAUCAGAGGGGAAUAACCCGGCGAAAGUCGGACUAAUACCGCAUAAAACAGGGGCACCGCAUGGUGAUAUUUGUUAAAGAAAUUCGCUGAUAGAUGGGCAUGCGUUCCAUUAGGUAGUUGGUGAGGUAACGGCUCACCAAGCCGACGAUGGAUAGGGGAACUGAGAGGUUGGUCCCCCACACUGGUACUGAGACACGGACCAGACUCCUACGGGAGGCAGCAGUGAGGAAUAUUGGUCAAUGGGCGGGAGCCUGAACCAGCCAAGUCGCGUGAAGGAAGAAGGAUCUAUGGUUCGUAAACUUCUUUUGCAGGGGAAUAAAGUGCAGGACGUGUCCUGUUUUGUAUGUACCCUGAGAAUAAGGAUCGGCUAACUCCGUGCCAGCCGCCGC